UACUAAGGGGGCUAGCGUUGCUCGGAAUCACUGGGCGUAAAGCGCACGUAGGCGGACUCUUAAGUCGGUGGUGAAAUCCUGGAGCUCAACUCCAGAACUGCCUUCGAUACUGAGAGUCUCGAGUCCGGGAGAGGUGAGUGGAACUGCGAGUGUAGAGGUGAAAUUCGUAGAUAUUCGCAAGAACACCAGUGGCGAAGGCGGCUCACUGGCCCGGUACUGACGCUGAGGUGCGAAAGCGUGGGGAGCAAACAGG
rnacentral:rRNA from 1 species